rnacentral:rRNA from 1 species
CGAAACUGCGAAUGGCUCAUUAUAUAAGUUAUCGUUUAUUUGAUAGUACCUUACUACUUGGAUAACCGUGGUAAUUCUAGAGCUAAUACAUGCUAAAAAUCCCGACUUCGGAAGGGAUGUAUUUAUUAGAUUAAAAACCAAUGCCCUCUGGGCUCCUUGGUGAUUCAUAAUAACUUUUCGAAUCGCAUGGCCUUGCGCCGGCGAUGGUUCAUUCAAAUUUCUUCCCUAUCAACUUUCGAUGUUUGGGUAUUGGCCAAACAUGGUCGCAACGGGUAACGGAGGGUUAGGGCUCGACCCCGGAGAAGGAGCCUGAGAAACGGCUACUACAUCCAAGGAAGGCAGCAGGCGCGCAAAUUACCCAAUCCCGAUUCGGGGAGGUAGUGACAAUAAAUACUGAUACAGGGCUCUUUUGGGUCUUGUAAUUGGAAUGAGUACAAUUUAAAUCCCUUAACGAGGAACAAUUGGAGGGCAAGUCUGGUGCCAGCAGCCGCGGUAAUUCCAGCUCCAAUAGCGUAUAUUAAAGUUGUUGUGGUUAAAAAGCUCGUAGUUGAACCUUGGGCCUGGCUGGCCGGUCCGCCUCACCGCGUGUACUGGUCCGGCCGGGCCUUUCCCUCUGUGGAACCUCAUGCCCUUCACUGGGUGUGGCGGGGAAACAGGACUUUUACUUUGAAAAAAUUAGAGUGCUCCAGGCAGGCCUAUGCUCGAAUACAUUAGCAUGGAAUAAUGAAAUAGGACGUGUGGUUCUAUUUUGUUGGUUUCUAGGACCGCCGUAAUGAUUAAUAGGGACAGUCGGGGGCAUCAGUAUUCAAUUGUCAGAGGUGAAAUUCUUGGAUUUAUUGAAGACUAACUACUGCGAAAGCAUUUGCCAAGGAUGUUUUCAUUAAUCAGGAACGAAAGUUAGGGGAUCGAAGACGAUCAGAUACCGUCGUAGUCUUAACCAUAAACUAUGCCGACUAGGGAUCGGACGAUGUUAUUUUUUGACGCGU